CUAGGAAGAUGGGUCUCGAUCCCAUAAUAUCUUAGUUAACAGCUAAGCGCUCAAUCCAGCGAGCUUCGUCCUA
rnacentral:tRNA from 1 species